rnacentral:rRNA from 1 species
AACGAACGCUGGCGGCGCGCCUAACACAUGCAAGUCGAACGAGAAGGCGUAGCAAUACGCUUGUACAGUGGCGAACGGGUGAGGAAUACGUGGGUAACCUACCCUCGAGUGGGGAAUAACCAACCGAAAGGUUGGCUAAUGCCGCGUACGCUUCCAUCCUUUCGGGGGUGGAAGGAAAGCUGUACCGUGGGUACAGCGCUCAAGGAUGGGCUCACGUCCUAUCAGCUUGUUGGUAGGGUAACGGCCACCAAGGCAACGACGGGUAGCUGGUCUGAGAGGACGAUCAGCCACACUGGCACUGCGACACGGGCCAGACUCCUACGGGAGGCAGCAGUGAGGAAUAUUGCGCAAUGGGCGAAAGCCUGACGCAGCGACGCCGCGU